rnacentral:lncRNA from 1 species
ACGGCGUUUUUGCACACGACUCGAACUUGUCGAUAAUCAAAGCAAUUCCUCCAUCCGCACUCUUUGGACUCCCUCCAAUGUUGAACUCCCUUCAAACGGCGGAUCGAUCUCUCCCGAGAUCUUUUAAGCACUUCUCCCGAAACGCCGAUCUUUUUUAUGGCCUGGUAGAAGAAACUCGUCUCUGUUAGCACUUCUCCCGAAACGCCGAUCUUCUUUAUGACCUGGUAGAAGAAACCCGUCAUGUUGCCACACCUGAUGUGCACGGCGGAUCGACCUCUCCCAAGAUCUUUUAAGCACUUCUCCCGAAACGCCG